rnacentral:rRNA from 1 species
GUCGAGCGGUAGAGAGGUGCUUGCACCUCUUGAGAGCGGCGGACGGGUGAGUAAUGCCUAGGAAUCUGCCUGGUAGUGGGGGAUAACGCUCGGAAACGGACGCUAAUACCGCAUACGUCCUACGGGAGAAAGCAGGGGACCUUCGGGCCUUGCGCUAUCAGAUGAGCCUAGGUCGGAUUAGCUAGUUGGUGAGGUAAUGGCUCACCAAGGCGACGAUCCGUAACUGGUCUGAGAGGAUGAUCAGUCACACUGGAACUGAGACACGGUCCAGACUCCUACGGGAGGCAGCAGUGGGGAAUAUUGGACAAUGGGCGAAAGCCUGAUCCAGCCAUGCCGCGUGUGUGAAGAAGGUCUUCGGAUUGUAAAGCACUUUAAGUUGGGAGGAAGGGCAUUAACCUAAUACGUUAGUGUUUUGACGUUACCGACAGAAUAAGCACCGGCUAACUCUGUGCCAGCAGCCGCGGUAAUACAGAGGGUGCAAGCGUUAAUCGGAAUUACUGGGCGUAAAGCGCGCGUAGGUGGUUCGUUAAGUUGGAUGUGAAAUCCCCGGGCUCAACCUGGGAACUGCAUUCAAAACUGUCGAGCUAGAGUAUGGUAGAGGGUGGUGGAAUUUCCUGUGUAGCGGUGAAAUGCGUAGAUAUAGGAAGGAACACCAGUGGCGAAGGCGACCACCUGGACUGAUACUGACACUGAGGUGCGAAAGCGUGGGGAGCAAACAGGAUUAGAUACCCUGGUAGUCCACGCCGUAAACGAUGUCAACUAGCCGUUGGGAGCCUUGAGCUCUUAGUGGCGCAGCUAACGCAUUAAGUUGACCGCCUGGGGGAGUACGGCCGCAAGGUU